rnacentral:rRNA from 1 species
ACGGAGGGGGCUAGCGUUGUUCGGAAUUACUGGGCGUAAAGCGUGCGUAGGCGGUUCGUUAAGUCUGUCGUGAAAGCCCUGGGCUCAACCUGGGAAUGGCGAUGGAUACUGGCGAGCUAGAGUGUGAUAGGGGAUGGCGGAAUUCCCGGUGUAGCGGUGAAAUGCGUAGAGAUCGGGAGGAACAUCUGUGGCGAAGGCGGCCAUCUGGAUCAACACUGACGCUGAGGCACGAAAGCGUGGGGAGCAAACAGGA